rnacentral:rRNA from 15 species
AAAGUUUAAUGGCUUAAUCUUGCUUUACUGUUUGACAUACACGUCUAUCAGUUGCGUAAGCAGGGCAUAAAGACCGCAAGACGCAGUAAGGAAAGGUCUUGUAUUAUUGAAAAAGCUACGCUGGGGAUAACAGGCUAAUUGCGCAAGAGAGUACAAAUUGAGUGCGCAGUUUGGCACCUCGAUGUCGGCUUAGCUCAUCCACAUGAAUGCAGGAAUCAUGAAGGGUACGACUGUUCGUCGAUUAAAGAGCUACACGAGCUGGGUUAAAUACGUCGUGAGACAGUAUGGUUUCUAUCUUCUAGAGGAAAUUAGAGUAAAAUAAGGAUAGCCCCUUCGUACGAAAGGAGUUGGGUAUGGUAACCUAUGGUUUACCUGUUGUUU